rnacentral:misc_RNA from 1 species
GAUGAAGAACGUAGCGAAAUGCGAUAAGUAGUGUGAAUUGCAGAAUUCAGUGAAUCAUCGAAUCUUUGAACGCACAUUGCGCCCCUUGGUAUUCCGAGGGGCAUGCCUGUUCGAGCGUCAUUAUAACCCCUCAAGCUCAGCUUGGUGUUGGGGCCUGCUGCACUGGCAGCCCUUAAAAUCAGUGGCGGCGCCGUCUGGCUCUAAGCGUAGUAAUUCUUCUCGCUAUGGAGUCCUGGUGGAUGCUUGCCAUCAACCCCCAAUUUUUCUAUGGUUGACCUCGGAUCAGGUAGGGAUACCCGCUGAACUUAAGCAUAUCAAUAAGCGGAGGA